GCUACGAACGAUAGAAACAUGAACGAAGCUGAUUUCAAUGAAAUCUUUUUCACGCUAAAGGAGGCCUCGGGUAUAUUUCUCAUUUCACAAGCGGCUCGUAACCGAUCGGUAGUGCGUACGCCGCAAAUCGGACUCGAAAACCAUGAAGAAGAGCUUCAAGUUAAAUCUCGAACACGAAACGAACUCUCAUCAAGAUGAAAAUUACCCUUCCUUGAUGCAAAACUUCUCGAGUGACUGGAUAGUCUAAAAGUGAACGAACGAUUUUGAUCAGUUCAGUGAGAAGAAAACUAAUAUUAAAGCGAAUAAGUAAUUUAGAAAUUUUCAUAUAAACUUACGACGACGUUAAACUGGAUUAUUAUCUUAUACAGCAUGAUGCUUUUUUGAAAAUUCUAAGAAUAUGAAAUUCGUAAAAUAAAACUAUUGCGUUUUGAAGAGGCUUAUUUGUGUUUAAGUCCACUUGAGAAUUAAAUUAUCGCAAAUUAAACCUCGAUAAUAUCUUUCUUGUUAGAGAAAAUAACAUUUACGAUAAUAAUUAUCGAGAAAUGACAAACACGAAAAUACUUACAAAGAUAAAAUUGUAGAAGACCUUCAAAUUAAUAACAAUACAUGAGGUAAAAAUAUUGUGAACAAAGGAAUGUAAAGGUUAUCUGACUCUUAUCCGAAAUCGAGCAACAAAACAAACGAACGAAAGACCGGAAAACUGAAUAUUCAUAAGGAAUGUCUGAAACACAAAUAAGCAAUCGCUAAGGAUCCUUAAUUUUGUCUACGAAAUCUAUGAAAUAAACACUCAAUGAAUUCUCAAAGACGAGCGUUUCGUACAACAAUAAAAAAUAGUAGGUCUUGAGAAAUCUUCACGGAUGAGGCAUUUGAAAAUCUUUUUCUCGAUCUCCCUUUUACUCAUUCUUCCUUUCAUCUCAUUAACCGAAUAAUAUCCAGUGAGAAAAUAUAAUUAAGCGAAAGCUAUUUGCCUCGUAUUGAAAUGAAAUCGAGUAUUGGACAUGAUUGUAUUUCUUAGAAGGCAGAGGAGCAGUAACCGCAGAGACGACGAUUCCAACGUUCUCGAAUAUUCCCAAGGGUUAACAAUGUCCUUAAUGACGUAACAUAAUUACGAAGAAGCUUUCCCUCACGAUGUACGUCACCGGCAAACGCGGGAGCUUAAUUGUAAAGCCUGGAAGAUCGAGGCUAAGCGGCUAAACGAGCACGAUCGUCCUUGACGAAGGACUCCGAGGUAAAGCUCCUAAUCUGAACUUUUCCUUCUCUUCCUCUUCAAGCUGCUUCUUUACGUCGUUCUCAUCGAUAUAGAAACAUCAAGAGAUAAACCACAAUGUCAUCCUGCGCUACCAUUAGAGAGUAAUCGCUUUAGAAACAGCCUCUCCUUUCUAUUUUAUCAUUCUCUUACCAGAUUUACUAAAAUCCCUUUUCGAAAGACCCAUUUAACACUUAUGAUUAUGUACUCGUAUAAAAGGAAAUAUUAUAUGAAACAUCAUAUGAAAUAUUAUUAUACUUAGAACCUAUUUAACGAUCACAAUUAUAUCGUACUCCUGUAAAGUGAAAUUAAAAUAAACGAAUGCUAUUAAUA